AACAAAAGCACUGUCUCUGAAAGUGGUGGUGACCUGAAGAACUAGGGUCUACUUAGCUCUUACAGUACUUGUAAAUGUUGUGUGACCUGCCUACAGUUGCAGUACAGUGUGAAGAAAGAACCAGCCCACAACAGGGUCUGGAUUGCUGAGAUCGAAGCUGAAACUAACCAGGAAAUGUACCUAUAACAGAAGAAGUGGAUACGGAGAAACAGAAUGGAGGGGAAAAAAAAAAUUCUUGCGCUUUAUCAGCUUGUCUCAUCUCCAUCAUCGCUGCUGGCAGAGUACCAUUCUUCAGUUUCUUCAGCGAGGCAUCUGUGAUGAUGAGAUGGCCAACUUCUUCCUUCGCUCCCCUCCCGGA
rnacentral:lncRNA from 1 species